rnacentral:misc_RNA from 1 species
GAGAUGAUAAAAAAUAUGAGAAAAAAAAUAAGAAAGAGAUCAUACUUGGCAAGCUGUCAUUGAAAACAAACAAAAACUGCUUCUGCUUACUUCCCAUGUGGCCUAGCUAGAGCUGCGAGGUUCAGCAUUCUUUUGCUCUUAUGUAAAUUCUUGAUGUUGCAGAAUGAUAACUGCAACUUCCCGCUUUUGUUAAUCGGAGCAUCUAACUAAUUUAUAUUGUAAAUCAGGUAACAGAGCAG